CAAGACUGUGCAAGCUAGAUCAACGAACACUGUAAUACAAUGCUCCUUUGAAACACCUGUAUUCAUAAGAUUAGUGUUUCCUGUAAAUAAAGUAAAUGAAUAAUAGCUCUUCAUUUUGCAAAACAUUUUACUGAUUGCUUUACUAUCUAACACAGGUAUGAGCUACAUUACCAGCUGAUUACAUUUGGAAAGGUAUAUUGUCAGUUCAUUUUGGCAUUUUCCACUGCACCAAUAAGAAACAGUAACUGUUAAUAAACAUUUUAUACUUGAACAUCUAUGCAGGUUUUUUGUACAAAGAGUAAACCAAAUUGCAAUGCAUGUCCAAUGAGAGGAGAAUGCAGACAUUUUGCUAGUGCUUUUGCAAGGUCUGAAUCCCCCAUCCUGCCCAAUUAAUAUUUUUGUUGCCACUUUAUUUCGGCAGAUAAACAUAUAAGGACAGUUAUCAGAUGUCCUAGUAAUCAAAACUAUGUCACAAAAGCCUUGAGUGCAGAUAGAAUAAAGUAGAGAACACCAUAUCAGCUAUUUAAUUAGUUAGAGGGAGACAAAUUCUCUCCUCUAGGCAGCUUGUUUCCUCUUCCCAUUUGGAUGAUUUGUACAUGCUCAUAAUAACUAACUGUUAUUCUCUGGUUUGAUCAGUGCAAGGCUUGCACUGCCAGGACCAGAGGAGAAGAGUAUAGUGAGUUCAACCAUGCCUACUAUGGCUGAAAGAAACCCUUCUGUAGUUAUCAAUCCUAUGCCAUUACCUUCACCUGAGAAAAGCUCACUUGCUGAAGUACGACGUGAAAUUGGCAAGUGUGAACCCAUCAUUGAAGAACCAGCAACACCAGAACAAGAAUGCACAGAAAUAACAGAAAGUGACAUUGAGGAUGCAUUUUAUGAGGAUCCUGAUGAAAUCCCCACAAUAAAACUCAAUAUUGAAGAAUUCACAGUGAAUCUACAGAGCUACAUGCAAGAGAAAAUGGAACUACAAGAAUGUGACAUGUCCAAGGCUCUAGUUGCUUUGAAUCCAGAUGCUGCUUCUAUUCCAGCACCCAAACUGAAGAACGUGAGUCGGCUACGUACAGAGCACCAAGUGUAAGUGGAUAUCCUCCAUAAUUUUAUAAAAAGUAAUUUCUCCAAAAGGAAUCAGAAUUACAUCUCAGAUAGGCUAAUUUGCAUAAAGUAGAGUUCAUAUUAAUCCAUGUGACUGAAAUCCCAAUCUAAAUUAGCUUUGAAUAAAGUUGAAGCAAGUUCAAUUUAGCACAAGAAAAGCUUGUCAUUACUCAACAUAUGGUAAGUAGCACAUGAAAAUGGCUCACAACAAACUGCAGUUUCUAGUCAAUACAAGAGCUCCAGAUAACUAAUAUCGAUUAUCAAUAACUGAAAAAUGGUCCAUUUCAACAAUUAUUAAGCUUUAAUAGUGAACAGAAUCCUGCAUGACUUUUUCUAACUCCCUGGUAUGAUACAGGUAUGAACUUCCAGAUUCACAUCCUCUACUAGAAGGGGUUAGUUUCUCUCUAAUUCCAGAAGUCAAGUGUUUUUACAUGACAUUUGUUUGACUAUGAGUCUACUGAAUUUACAGAUGGAUAGACGGGAACCUGAUGAUCCUAGUCCAUACCUCCUUGCUAUAUGGACCCCAGGUGCGCAAAUGACAUAGUUGAUCCCCGGAUAUAAAAGUGUUCUCAGCAAUACUGAGCAUGAAACAAUUCACUGUACCGGUUUGUUUGGAUAUAUAAGAUAUACAGAACAUGUUAAUGUGAUGUCAGCCCAGUAAUAGUGAAAUAUAGAAAAUGAUAGGUGCUUAUAUAUGCUUGUUCCUAGCCUGUAAGGUGAAACUAUUUUGCAUGAUUACUAAGUAAUGUCUCAUAUUAUUGAACCAUGUUACUAGGGGAAACUGCCAAUUCCAUUCAACUUCCUGAAAGUAGAUGCAGGUCCAAAGAAUCUGGUAAAUUGUGCGAUGAGAAGACUUGUUUUUCAUGCAAUAGCAUAAGAGAAACUAAUUCACAGACUGUCAGAGGAACUCUUCUGGUAAGGAACUCCAUUUUGAUCUCAUCAUACAUAGAUAACCAUUCAAACUGACUCAAAGACUUACCUUCAUCCUUCACUAAUGUGUAAAUCUCCUCAUCUUCAGAUUCCUUGCAGAACAGCAAUGAGAGGAAGCUUUCCACUCAAUGGCACGUACUUUCAAGUUAAUGAGGUAAGACUAAUUAAGCGCCAACUCUUAUUUUCUUGGAAGAUUUUAGAUAAAACUCAACCCCAUCUAAACGGACAAUGUAUGGGUUUGUAAACACUGCACCCUAGCUUACCCAACCCCCUAAAAAGAGUAAUGUUUUACCAUUCAAGAUAUAACUGCAUAGUCCAUUGUGAUGCAGGUGUUUGCAGAUCAUGACUCAAGCCUCAACCCCAUAGAUGUUCCAAGAGAAUGGCUAUGGAAUCUGCCUAGACGUAUGGUUUACUUUGGAACAUCUGUAUCAUCAAUAUUCAAAGGUGAGACCGAUAAUUAAAGUUAAGCUUUUUCCAAUUGAUUCCCAAUCUAGUAAUCAAAUUGAAAAGGAUAUUACUUAGAGAAACAUUUGUCCACCAGGCCUUUCAACGGAGGGGAUACAGUUCUGCUUUUGGAAAGGUAAGAAUUAUGAAAUCCCUGUUCAAUCAUUAUAUUAGUUUAUCUGCUUUGGUUGAGAGGAAAUGACAAUACCCAUUAACUGCAUAAAUGUUCUAGUUCUUUCGAUAAUCUUAUCUGCUUUCGGUGAAAGAAAUAGAUUAUCCUACUUAAGUCGUACAUCACUUACAGAGAACAAGCAACAGCCAUGUCUUUCUUUUCCCAUCUGCAUUGAUCAACUCAUUUUUAUGUUAGUUCUCGCUCAACAAAUAUUCUCCUGUAAGGAAGUUGAGGUCACCUAGAACUCAUAUAUUACAUAAACACCCAUCAGUUUACGACCAGAAAGCAAUGAGGUUAAAGAAACAACUAAAUAAGGUAUAUACUCCCACAAGCUAACUCAGCAGUUGGCUGAGUACAAAAAGAGGAAUUUUUUAUUAGUGUGGAUCAUCAAAAAUAGAGUCUGCACUACAGAGUUAAAAUGGAUAACCCUUGUUUACUCUUCACUAUCAGCAAAUUGACAUACUAGUAGGUAGCCUAGUUAACUCCACUGCAAUAUGGUAACUCUCCAUCUUCACUGACGCAAUCCAGAAGAACAUAACUUAUGAGUUUAAAUAGAGCCUAUGCCAACAUAACAUAUCAAUCACCCUAGGGAUAGAUAUAUAGGGCAUUGUACACUAUAAAUAUAAAUUCAGCCAAAAUGGACUUUAAAAGUUGUUAUUUUUCACUUUCAAGCUGACCAAUUCAAUGUGCCUAUUCCUUUGUCAAAAAAUAAAUAAAUUAAUAAAUAAAAUAAAUAAAAACACAAUAUGACUAUUUAAAAUGUAAUUGCAAAGUCCAAUAACUCCUGUUUUGAGUUUAAAUUCUCCUUUGUUUCUUCUAUAUAGCUUUAACUUAUCUUAAUGGUAUGAUAUAAAUAACACAAUUUUCAUUUCUUUAAUGAUUUUAUACAACGAUCAUGGUUCACUCUUCAAGAUUUCAAAAGUUUUAUUCACCAACUACAAAACCGAAAGUAUGUAAAGAAAAUAACAGAUAGAGAAAAUUUUUCAACAUAAAAUUAUUUUAAAGUUAACCUACGUACCUAUCCUAUUGUGAUUUCUUUGUAUUCAUAAAGAAUUGUAUUUAGUUGUAUAUAAUAGGAAAAUCUGUUAAAAAAAAUAGCAACAAAUCAUUUUAACUAAAUGAAUCUACAUAGCUAUUUAUGCUUCCAGAUACCUUUGACCUUGAAUUCAUUCACCCAUUAGAUUACAACCUAUUUCUGAAGACAUCAACGGGUUCAACUCAAAAACCUUUUAUGCAUUGACCAACCAAUUGCUUUAAUAACUUCAGUACAAGACCCAAUACAUCCUAUGUCCAUCAUAAUUUUAUCCACAAAGCACAAAGAAGAAAGUUUCCUUUAAAAUUCAAGCGUAUACUUUUUUGCCUCCAUUCUUCUGUUCCUUAAUUACCUCCUCCUUUUAAAAUUAAAAAAAUAAAUAAAUAAAAAUCUUUUACACAAAAGAGAGCUUUAUAUUUUAUUCUGCAAUUUAUCUUAUCUCCUCUUAAAUAUAGAUACAAAAGAACUUUAUCAAAACCUAAGCUUAUCCUUAAUCAUUUAGUGCUGCGAGCAAAAAUUAAACUACUUCCCAAAUUUUGAAAGAUCACAUAUUCUUGAGAAAUAAGAAGCUAAUAUAACAUGGCUCAUACCAAACCCCUAGAUAGGAAAAGGAAAACUUCUAUCAUCUUCGACAUAGGCAAGUGAAGAAAUGACUCCUUGAAGUCUUAAAAUUAAUAUUGAACAUGCAAACAUUAUACUAGUCAAGCCAUAAAACGUCAUUAGAGCUCUAAAAGCCAAUGUUGUGAUUUGACACAUACCAUUUCCAACUAUCACUGUUUGAGCGCAUAGCAUGUGUUCAUCUUAUUCGGGCCCAAGCAACAUUGGCAUGCUCUAAAAGUUGUAAUUCAGACAUGUCACUAACUGUUUAAAAUUUAUUUGCAGGAUUUGUUUGUGUGAGGGGUUUUGACCAAAAAUCAAGAGCACCCCGACCUCUUAUGGCCAGAUUGCAUUUUCCGGCAAGUAAAUUGGUGAAAGCAAGAAACAAAAACAAACCAUAAGCAGGCAUAACACAGAGAAGAUUGCCGGAAGGAAAACCAAUAAAGAUCCAGCAGAUAGGAAAGAAAGAUUGUUGACUUCAGGGAGGAAAAUGAAUUUCAACUAACACAUUGUUGUACAUUCAAUUAUUCUUUUCCUAACAUAAAAUGCAUUCACCGCAUGUUAAUCCCAGAAAAAUAAUUUUAAGAUGAAUGGUGAGAUCUCAUGCUAAGCAUGAUGUAAGACUGUACAUUAUUAAUUCCAAUUCAUGCUCAAACGAGCGAUUCUUUUUAAGUGCUAGCAAAUAAAUAAGUACAGCAUGAGUUAUGCAAGAAAAAUGUUGCUUGUUUAAUUUAGCAGUUGAGCAAAGAACAUAGAGGAAGAGAAUAUUAAGAUUACCUGCCCUAUAUUUUAGUGAUUACUUCUUACUCUACAGAACAAAACUACAUUUGCAAGAACCUGGAAAACGACAAUAAGCUAUCAAGUCUUUUGAGAAAGAAUCUGCAAAUGAUUAUCAUAUUAUGCUAUAUAAAUCAUCCCUCUAUUGUUAACAAAUGCAAGUUCAUAUUCACAGAGAAGAUGCAAAGACACUGAACAGUAUAAUUGAUUCAAAGACAUGGAAAGAAUCAUCCACCUCAAGAGCAGUAGUCUUGAAGAUGGCUCUAUUACCCAAAUUCUGUUUCAGCAUCUAUUUAGAAACUUUUGAAUUCUGUGAGUAUUUUGUUAAAACACAAUUCUAUUGUAUCACAACCUGAAAAUUACUUAAAGAAGUCCAAGUGGUAAAAAACUAAAUUUCAACUCAAGUAUACAAGUGCAUCCAAACAAGAAUAUAAGGAAGUCUAGAAACUAUAAAAUUGAAGACUGAUUAUCACUCCAUGUGAAGUUUAACUAGCAUGCUAAUCAACUGGUACCAUUCGCUAACAUCACUACCAACCAGGUCCCCCACCUUUAUCAUCAUAAAACAUUAACACCACUGAUCAAUCCAUGACACCCAACCAUCAUCUUUAAUUCGGAGAAAACUAACUAUCCCAAUUAUCCAUGCUGUUGCCAUACCACAAUUUUCAUAAUUUGCUGUCAACAUAACCACAAACAUAAGAUUUCAUAUGAUUCAAUUAUUGUUCCUUUCAUUUCAAUUAUAUAUAUAUAUAUAUAUUUUGUGGUUCAAUGAAUAAUAGCUGUAGUUAUUCAGUCCCACCAUUUAAAUCCCUAAAUCUACACAAUUUCUUUAAUGCUAAAAUUUUCAGCUCUAAAUUUUUGCCUCCAAGGAUCUACACCUAAAUGAUUAUUUUUAUUGUGUUAUAGAAAGAGACACUAAUUAUCCACCAGCAACAAGACAAAAAAACAAGCCAUUCACGCCAAUGUGUAUUUACUUCUGAGUAUUUUCUUAAUGAGAAAUUUCCAAGCUGGAAAACGGUCAAAAACUGUUGAAAAUUAAUAUUGGAAGAUCAAUAAUACAAACAUAUGUUCACCAAUGUCCACCACUAUCAUUGAAGAAGACAAAAGAGACAAGCACACUAACCUGAGAAUAGAUAUUGGAAUUAAGCUUGGUCCAAUUCUCAAACUUCAUUUAGGACAAAUCUCAAUUAAACUGUCACGAUUAUGAGCCUCGUCAACCUAUCACAUUGAAAAUAUGCAAGCCUUUAGAUUCAAAUCUUGAAUAUGUAAUCGAUAUUUGUUCACAAGUCAUUGUCACUCAAUAUCAAAUGUGGAAAUCCAAGCACAAGUUGGCACCUAGACAGCUACAUUUCCAAAAAUUGGCAAUCUUGCUCAGAAAAUCUCCCCAACGUAAUUUUCGGAUCCACCAUCUUUCCUCCACCACGUUAGUUAAUAUAAACCAUAAGUCAAUAAUGCCUAUAUAAUUUUCACUCUUCUAAUAUCAAUUUCAUGAUAGGAGAAGCAUAGGCAUUUCUCCACAAUCUAUAACCAAAAUUGCUCUUGACUAAUAUAAAAAGCUUUUGAUCCUCAUGGUAGACCCUCUUGUACUUAACCAAAUAAAAUAAAUCGUCUAGGGACAUGGAACAUACAGCCUUAAUUGGUGAUUCCUGUGAUGGCUAGAAUUUUUAAAUAUGAUGUAACUAGCAACAACAAUCUUAAAUUGAUAGUCAAUAGAAUGCUUCAUUUCACAACGAACUGAACAAUGGCAGAAGUUGGUAAUGCUAACCAACUCAACAUAAUAAUUCACUAAAAUAAACAAAAUCUAGUGCAUUAACAAUUGCAAGGUAUCUAAUUCCACCUGUCAACGUCUCUCCUAAGAAUUGUCAAUUUGAGCUAUAAGAUUACUUGUUCGGUCUAGCGGAACAAAAAAAGAUCAAUAAAGUUGAACAUCAUCCCCUAUCUCCACCCUUCACUUGCCUCUCCGGUACUUUAAAUUCUCCUCAUAAUUCACUAUUUCUUUUGAAUUGAUAAAAUCAUAGUUACAUACAGUAAAAAACAUUUACAAACAUAAAUGUAUGCAAGCAAGACAAACACAGAUCUUGCAAGGUGGCGAAGAUACAUUUAUACGAUUUGACAUGUAUGUGCUUGUAGUGCCCAUCGAUUUCCACAUUCCAUUUAAAACACUCAAACCUUCUAUAUCAAAAAUAUCCAUCCACUGAUCUUAUGGUUUCAAAUAAUACUUAUCAAUUCCUAAUUGAAUUUUUCUACAUCUUAAGUCCAAUAACCACUGAUAUUGGGUAUCUUCAUAACUGCAAAUGUAAAAUAAUUGCAUUUAGCACAAAGGAACAUUAAACUUUGUAUCACUGGACAUCAAACUUGUAAUGUCGUAAUUCAUAUGUCAAACUUGUAGCAUUGAAUGCCAACCUUAUACAUAAAUGAGUUGCCAUAUAGAACAUCAACAUUGUAACAUUGAAAUUAGAAUCUGUAACCGUAUGCUCAAUAUCAGGACCUGCAUGAUUUGUGGUUUGACGCACUCACAUUACUUCAGUUGCCAAAUUAAGCCUAAUAAAAUUACUUAUAUUUCUCAAUUAAUUAUCCUUGUUCAACUAUCAACUAAUAUUUAAUUUCUCACUUUAUCAAGCAGUCCUAUUCCUGCAUCCUCUUUCUUCACUCAUCGACUAGCUCAUGGGUAAAACAAGAAGAAUAUAUCAAUCUGCUACAACUCAAACGAUUGUAAUAUUCAAAAAAGUAUAUAAUUGUCUACAAAUAAAUAAAUUCAGUCCCAGAACUAAAUAUUUACUAAUAUUCUGUGAUUUUAACGAACUUUGUGAAAUCUUACGAGACACGAGCUGCAAACGCAGUAAUAUAAACGGCAAAUAGUUCAAUAAGCAAUUUUAACACAAUCGGCCAUUAUUUGAUUCAAAUCUAAACAAUAAGGCAUAAUCCACAUGAACAUUACAAAUCUUUACAAUUUCAAGGUCACUUCGAAAAAAACCAACGUAAGGAAAAGAAAAAAAAAAGAUCAAAGAAUUAUUGAUCUGAAAUCUAUCAUUGAUGCUUCACUCAAACAGAGAUUUCACAUAAAAGAGAAUUAGAGAAAUAUUAAUUAAACAUUAAACAAUAAAUUAAAAAUAAAAAGAGCGUACCCGUGUGUGUAGAAAUUGAUAGCUGAUAGUUUAAACUAUGGAGAAAAGAGAGGGUUUUAUUUUGGGGCAAAGUUUGCCGCCUUUACCUCUUCCCUCCAUUUUUUUUU
rnacentral:lncRNA from 1 species